rnacentral:tRNA from 1 species
GUUGCCCGUAGCUCAAUUGGCAGAGCAUCCGACUCUUAAUCGGCAGGUUGUAGGUUCGACUCCUACCGGGCACA